rnacentral:tRNA from 1 species
GCCUGGAUCAGACCGGCCGGAAAGGCGUGCGCGCCACGAGCGCGCCCUGCCGGUCGAAGACGGCGACGUCCAGUUCGACGCCGGACCCGGCUA